rnacentral:miRNA from 1 species
GAGAGAGAGAGAGAGAGAGAGAGAGAGAGAGAGAGAGAGAGAGAGAAUUUUUUAAUAUUUAUUUUUCAGUUUUUGGCGGACACAACAUCUUUGUUUGUAUGUGGCGCUGAGGAUCGAAUCGAACCCGGGCCACAAGCAUGCCAGGCAAGCUCGCUACUGCUUGAGCCACAUCCCCAGCCCAUGUUGGCAGAUACUCUUGAGACAGAAUGUCUGCAUUUCUAUGUCUCUCUCUCUCUCUCUCUCUCUCUCUCUCUCUCUCUCUAUAUAUAUAU